AACGAACGCUGGCGGCAUGCCUUACACAUGCAAGUCGAACGGCAGCGCGGGAGCAAUCCUGGCGGCGAGUGGCGAACGGGUGAGUAAUAUAUCGGAACGUGCCCAGUAGUGGGGGAUAGCCCGGCGAAAGCCGGAUUAACACCGCAUACGACCUACGGGUGAAAGGGGGGGAUCGCAAGACCUCUCGCUAUUGGAGCGGCCGAUAUCAGAUUAGGUAGUUGGUGGGGUAAAGGCCUACCAAGCCUGCGAUCUGUAGUUGGUCUGAGAGGACGACCAGCCACACUGGGACUGAGACACGGCCCAGACUCCUACGGGAGGCAGCAGUGGGGAAUUUUGGACAAUGGGCGCAAGCCUGAUCCAGCAAUGCCGCGUGCAGGAAGAAGGCCUUCGGGUUGUAAACUGCUUUUGUCAGGGAAGAAAUCCUCUAGGCUAAUACCUUGGGGGGAUGACGGUACCUGAAGAAUAAGCACCGGCUAACUACGUGCCAGCCGCCGCGGUAA
rnacentral:rRNA from 1 species